rnacentral:lncRNA from 1 species
AAGCUGUAUAAAAAGAAUGGUAAAACAUCAGAGAAAAAAUAAUGUUUUCCCCACUGUAACUAGGUAACAGAGGUUUCCUGGAUCAUCACUGGUAAAGGCUCUGAGGUGAACGACAACCAGUGUACCAGUGUUGGGGACACGUUUAACCCCUUCAACAUGGAAGCUGGGAACUCCAGUUGUUCCCGUGACAACGCUCUGAGUUGUGAGGUGGGAGACCUGACGAACAGACAGGGGACAGUCAGCCUGACACACAGACAGCUGUACACCGACACCAGCAUACAACUGGCUGGGGACUACACAGUGGUCCACAGGUCCCUGGUCCUGAGGAGCGGCAGCGAUGUCUUCGCGUGUGCCGUCAUUCUUCCAGAAUCCCCCUGGGCAGAGCAGACCUUCCCCAACGUCAUGUCUUUCAGCAGAUAUGACUUCCGCAAUAGGGUGGCAGAGGUCCUAGAGGUGAACAUGUCCAGGGUCACCAUCCUUCCAGGGUCUCCUCUGACCACAGUGGACGGACCAUGCCAGAAAGUCAGCUUCCUUGUCUCAGGGGAGGUGAGUACGGACAAGAUGAACUCUAUCAAAGACAGUGAGAAGAUGGGCAUCUUCAAGCAGACAGAAGGUUGCUCAAGAAGUUCUGGACAACUGCUGGAGCCUGGGAGAUAUCUGGUGAUGUUGACGAUAGCUGCAGCCUACUUCCUACACUCUCUGAUCCAGCAGUAGUUUAUACUGUAGAUCUAGGUUUGCAUCCCAAAUGGCACCCUAUUCCCCAUAUAGUGCACUACUUCUGACCAGAGACUUUUAAAACAUUUUAUUUUUUAUUUCACCUUUAUUUAACCAGGUUUGCCAGUUGAGAACAAGUUCUCAUUUACAACUGCGACCUGGCCAAGUUAAAGCAAAGCAGUGCGACACAAACAACACGGAUUUACACAUGGAAUAAACAAAUGUACAGUCAAUAACACAAUAGAAAAAAUCUAUAUACAGUGUGUGCAAAUGAGGUAAGAUUAGGGAGGUAAGGCAAUAAAUAGGCCGUAGUGGCGAAGUCAUUACAAUUUAGCAAUUAAACACUGGAGUGAUAGAUGUGCAGAAUGAAUGUGCAAGUAGAGAUACUGGGGUGCAAAGGAGCCAAAAAAUAAAUAAAAAAAUAACAAUAUGGGGAUGAGGUAGUUGGAUGGGCUAUUUACAGAUGGCCUAUGUACAGGUGCAAUGAUCUGUGAGCUGCUCUGACAGCUGAUGCUUAAAGUUAGUGAGGAAGAUAUGAGUCUCCAGCUUCAGUGAUUUUUGCAACUCAUUCCAGUCAUUGGCAGCAGAGAACUGGAAGGAAAGGCGGCCAAAGAAGGAAUUGACAUUGGGGGUGACCAGUGAAAUAUACCUGCUGGAGCGCGUGCUAUGGGUGGGUGCUGCUAUGGUGACCAGUGAGUUGAGAUAAGGCGGGGUUUUACCUAGCAAAGACUUGGGCUUUGGUCAAAAGUAGUGCACUGUAUAGGGAAUAGGGUGCCAUUUGGGCAUUGCCCUAACCCUCACUCUGAAUCAACACUGGAACUGUCAAAUAUUCCUAUUUUCUAAACUGCAAUGAAGUCUAUAUUUUGAUGAUCGUUUUGUCAUUGAUCUGAAUGGUGUGGGUUUGAAUUUGCUCUUGAAGCAAGCAUUUUGUUGUUUAUUCGUUUUUUAUCCUAGAUAUAAAAAAUAUAUAUACUUUAGAUGCCAACUAAAUGCCAACUUCCUGUAUUAUAUUGUAAAUAUUCCACGUUUGGGUAAAUAUGUAUACUGUUUCAGCCCAAUAUCCACAACAUCAAAGCAAACGUAAUAGAGCAACAAUUGUUCAUUGUCCUUCCCUGUCCAAUUACUGUAUCAAAAAUGCAAUUUGAAGGAAAGAGAUGCUGUAAAUGUUUGCAAAUGUGUCCCAUUGUAUGUAUGCAUUGUUUUCUCAUGCAUUAAUGUAUUAAACUGCCACUUUCCCAUUUAAGGUGAAUUUCCAAGUCUUGCAUAUAUGUUUUUAUUGAGUAACCAUAAAAAUAAUAUGUGAUGAUGAAAAAAAAAUAUUUGGAUAAAUACGGAUUAUUGAAAACGUGAAUUUCAUGAAAUCUCUAUAGGC